CAGCCACUUACAGAUUCAACAGGUUCACUGUCCAACACAACAAGAAUCUACAAACACACAACCAGUCACAGUGCCUUCAAAACAACAAAACCAUCCAACAAUUAAAUAACGUUCUGGAAGGGCUCUGUGUACAUACGGUGAGUUUAGGAAACAGACAACGAGAGUGAACCGAAACAGUAAAGCUGUGGGCUGUAAAAGCACAACAAUAAGCAGAAAGACACUCAAACACUUCAUGGAGCUGUUAUUGAGGAUACAUCACUUUUUCU